rfam:Candidatus Gottesmanbacteria bacterium CG1_02_37_22 cg1_0.2_scaffold_6984_c, whole genome shotgun sequence.
AAAGUCUACUCAUAAAGUCGAUAAUGGAUGCCUAGGCGGUUUUGACCGAGGAAGGACGUUUGCAUACCUGCGAUAACGUCGGGGAGGCGGUUAGCAGCCUGCGAUCCGGCGGUUUCCGAAUGGGGAAACCCACUCCGAUUUAAUCGGAGUAACCUAUGGCAAAAUUCUGCAUUUAUGUGGAAUAUAGCUGUAUGGUAGGGAACCAUCCGAACUGAAACAUCUAAGUAGGAUGUGGAAAAUAAAUCAAAUGAGAUUCCGUCAGUAGCGGCGAGCGAAAGCGGAACAGUCUAAACCCGGGCGAGGCAUUUUGCCCCGCAGUCAGUUAGAGAUUAGUUACUUUGCUAUUUAGCCGUAGAGUUUGAAAAUUUUACUAAGUAACUAACAAACUAACCUAAGAAACUGCGAAGCAGGAUGCUUCGUCUGGGGGUUGUAGGGCUUCCAAUAUGGGAUGAGAAACGGGUAAUAGAAUUGCUUGGAAUAGCAAACCAUAGAACGUGAAAGUCGUGUAUAUGAAACUCGAAUCUCCUCUAGGGAGUUCCUAAGUACCAUGAGGCACGGCAAAACCUCUUGGGAAUCUGGGGCGUCCACGCUCCAAGACUAAAUAUCAAGACCGACCGAUAGUGAACUAGUACCGCGAGGGAAAGGUUAAAAGUACCCAGGUGAUGGGAGUGAAAUAGUACCUGAAAUUAUCGACUAACAAACAGAUAAAGCUUGUGCGUAGCACAAGGCUAGUUAUUAGUUACUUAGUUAUUUGGUUAGUUAGUAAUAAAUGUAAUACAUUUUAAAGCUAAUUAACUAAAUAACGAACUAACCAACUAACUAUCCUCGUGCUGCGCGCGAGUGAUAUCGUGCCUAUUGAAGAAUGAACCGAUGAGUAUCCGAUAUGCGGCUUUGCCUAAACCAUUCUGUGGUGGAGGCGUAGUGAAAGCAAGCUCUAAUUGAGCAAUUUUGUCGCAACCGGAUGACCCGAAACCGGGUGAGCUAAGCAUGGACAGGGUGAACCCAGCCUAACGGCAGGGGGAGGCCCGAACCCGUCAUUGCUGCAAAAAUGUGGGAUGAUCUGUGCUUAGGGGUAAUAUGCCAAUCGAACCCGGAGAUAGCUGGUUCUCCCCGAAAUAUAUUUAGGUAUAGCGGUCAGCCGCAAUUUUCCUGGGGGUAGAGCACUGGAUGGGAUAUCAAGCGUAAGCGAGAUGUCUCAAUCAAACUCCGAAUACCAGAGAAAUAUAGGCUGGCUAGUCAGUCCGGCUCGGCUAAGCGAGUCAGGUCGAGUGGGGAAACAACCCAAACUCCCAAUUAAGGUCCCUAAAUUUUGACUAAGUUGUAAAGGAUGUGAGAUUUCUUAAACACCCAGGAGGUUGGCUUAGAAGCAGCCACCCUUUAAAGAGUGCGUAACAGCUCACUGGAUUAGAGAUUUUGCGCCUAAAAUGAACGGGGAUAAGUCAAAUACCGAAAUUGGAGAUUCCCGAUUUAAUCAGGAGUGGUAGGGGAGCGUUCCUAUUGCAGUGAAGAUCACGCUGUAAAGCGGGUUGGAGCGAUAGGAAGUGAGAAUGUCGGUAUGAGUAGCGAAAUCACGCAGAAUAUGCGAGACGCCGAAAGCCCAAGGUUUCCGUCCCAACGUUCAUCGAGGACGGGUUAGUCGGAUCUAAGGCGAGUCCUCCGCUUUGCGGGGGGGUAGCACGAUGUACAAGCCGUUGAAAUCCGGCUACAGUAUUGAAACAUUCCAAGGGGAUGACGAAAAUGGAAGAGCGGAGCCAGGAACUGCUGGUCUAAGUUACAAGAUAGUGAUUAUUGGAAAAUCCGUUUUCACGUUUAAUUAAGUGACGAUGGAAAGUCCAAAGCCGCAAGGCUGCGGGCAAUUCCGUGACUUUCAAUUUCCAAGAAAAGUCUCAUUGGGUCACCGCAAGGUGACAAAUUUCAAUAUUUCCGUACCGCAAACCGACACAGGUGGGCUGGUUGAGAAUACUAAGGCGAACGGGAGAAAACGAUUCAAGGAACUCGGCAAAUUAGCUGGGCGUAACCUAUGGGAGAUGCCCUACCCCGAGCAAUCGGGGUCACAGCAAAAGACGCUUACCGGCUGUUUAACUAAAACACAGGUCUCUGCAAAGCCGAAAGGCAACGUAUAGGGGCUGACGCCUGCCCAGUGCACGAAGGUUAAAAAUUUUGGGUGACUCCGCUUUUGGUGGGGAAGCUUGAAAUUUAAGCCCGUGUGAACGGCAGCAGUAACUAUGAAUUCAGUUUGUAGUUGUUAAACCAAGCUAAAUGCUGGAACAUCCGUACCGUACAAACGGUUGAAGUAUCUGACGUUACCAUAUAUAAUUAAAUGGUGAAAAUACGUUCAGUGCGGACAAUCAGCAGGAAAGACUUGAGUCAAGAAAAAUUAGGAUUUUUCCUUGCAGGAUUUGUUGAAGGAGAGGGAAGUUUUAAUGUUUCAUUACGAAAAAAAUCUGAUUACAAAGUGGGGUGGCAGGUUGUAAUGAGUUUUAAUGUUUCCCAAAAAGAUCCGACAAUAUUAGAAUUAUUGCAGGAUGAAAUAAAAUGUGGAAUUAUCAAGGUCAGAAAAAAAGAUAAUCUCCAUUCAUUCGAUGUAACAAAUCCAAAAGAUAUAAUUUUCAAAGUUAUUCCAUAUUUUCAGAAAUAUCCUCUUCUGUCUUUUUCAAAAAAGAAAAAUUUUGCAAUUUUUUGUGACAUUGCAUAUUUGAUGGGAAAAGGAGAGCAUACUAACACAAGUGGAUUAAAAAAGAUAUUGGAAUUAAGAGAAAAUAUCAAUGAAGGAAAAGGAAGAACUAGAAAAUAUGGUAUUAAGGACGUUUUUCUUGAUUAUUAAGAAUCCUCAGAGACUAUACGCUUGGGUCCGAUGCGAUAUCGGACAUGAUAUAGUCCGACCUUUAUAGCGAUACAAAGAGACGUAAUCAAUCGUCUUUAUAACAAUGUGAACUGUUCUAUGGUAGCGAAAUUCCUUGUCGGGUAAGUUCCGACCCGCACGAAAGGCAGAACGAGUAAGCGACUGUCUCGAAUCGUUACCCGGCGAAAUUGAAAUGGCUGUGAAGAUGCGGCCUACUUGCACCUGGACAAAAAGACCCCGUGGAGCUUUACUGUAACUUGGCAUUGGGAAGAUAUUUGAAACUGUCGAGUAUAGGAGGGAGCCUUGUACCAUCUGGUAUAGGGCAUCAGUGGAAUACCUCUCUUUUUAAAUAUUGACUCUAAUCUUUUGGCCGCAAAAAAAUCCGGCAAAGAGACAGUGUCUGGUGGGCAGUUUCGCUGGGGAGGUGGCCUCCAAAAGUGUAACGGAGGCGUACAAAGGUCGGCUUAGCAGGGAUGGAAAUCCUGCGUGACGUGCAAACGCAUAAGCCGGCUUGACUGCGAGAGGGACAACUCGAGCAGACGCGAAAGCGGGUGUUAGUGAUCCUCGGAUCGGCAGUGGUUGCCGACCGAGCUUAACGGAUAAAAGCUACCCCGGGGAUAACAGGCUGAUCGGGCCCGAGAGUUCAUAUCGACGGCCCGGUUUGGCACCUCGAUGUCGGCUCAUCCUAUCCUGGAGCUGUAGAAGGUUCCAAGGGUCCGGCUGUUCGCCGGUUAAAAGGGUACGCGAGCUGGGUUCAGAACGUCGUAAGACAGUUCGGUCUCUAUCCGGUGCAAGCGUUGGAUACUUGAGGGGAUCUCUUGUUAGUACGAGAGGACUGCGAGGGAGGAAUCCCUGGUGUGCCAGUUGUUUCACUGAUGUGAGCAAGCUGGGUAGCUAUAUUCCUUCGGGAUAAGCGCUGAAAGCAUCUGAAGCGCCAAGCCCACCCCAAGAUAAGGUAUCCCUUUAGACCCCUUGUAGACUACAAGGUUGAUAGGCGGAAAGUGUACGCCCCGUAAGGGGUUUAGCUGAUCCGUACUAAUUGGUCGAGAGUAAAUUUUAA